GCUGGCGGCAGGCCUAACACAUGCAAGUCGAACGGUAACAGGAAGAAGCUUGCUUCUUUGCUGACGAGUGGCGGACGGGUGAGUAAUGUCUGGGAAACUGCCUGAUGGAGGGGGAUAACUACUGGAAACGGUAGCUAAUACCGCAUAACGUCGCAAGACCAAAGAGGGGGACCUUCGGGCCUCUUGCCAUCGGAUGUGCCCAGAUGGGAUUAGCUAGUAGGUGGGGUAACGGCUCACCUAGGCGACGAUCCCUAGCUGGUCUGAGAGGAUGACCAGCCACACUGGAACUGAGACACGGUCCAGACUCCUACGGGAGGCAGCAGUGGGGAAUAUUGCACAAUGGGCGCAAGCCUGAUGCAGCCAUGCCGCGUGUAUGAAGAAGGCCUUCGGGUUGUAAAGUACUUUCAGCGGGGAGGAAGGGAGUAAAGUUAAUACCUUUGCUCAUUGACGUUACC
rnacentral:rRNA from 1 species